GGUAUGAGUCAUGCUUUCCACAGAUUUCCUUAACAUCAUUUUCAAUGGUCUUUCUGGUGCAGUUUUCCCUGCCAUAGACCUUUCUUACAAGCCGAAUUGUUUCAGUAUAUAUUGGGAUUUGAUGGUAAAAUCCAACGCACAUCAAUAUAUUGGCACAAGUAAAAGGACCAAGGCCAUUGAUCUUCCUAAGUUGCUUGCUUAUAUCCACCUAUGGUCUCCAUGAAUUAUCAUUUUCAAUGUUUCCAACUGUUAUCAGUGGAUGCUCAAAACCUUUAAGCUUUAGUUUCCCACUCUCAACAGAUACAGCAAAAUCAAUAACAGUUUUUGCUCUGUGCCCAAGAUUGCGGUGCUAGUUCAAAUAAUCAACAUCCACCAUAGCCAAUUCUUUUGAGCUUGGAAAAUUUGCCAUUCCAUCCAUUGAUGGGUUCCGUCCAAGUUUCGCACGCUUGUUAUUAGCCUUGGUUUUUCCUUUCAGU
rnacentral:misc_RNA from 1 species